CUUCCCUCUUUCAGUGAUAUGAAGGAUUCUGAUGAUGAAGGGUUUUCUAAUUGUCUUAAUGGUUGGAUCCCAUGUCAGAGAUGCAACCUUUUCGGUGUUGAAAGAUGUAGCAAAGAAAUCCUGAGGUGAGGAGACAUUACGAGCACACUCUAGCAAUGCUCAAGGAAGAGAAGA